UAGCGAAAUUCCUUGUCGGGUAAGUUCCGACCCGCACGAAAGGCGUAACGAUUUGGACACUGUCUCGGAGAGGGACUCGGCGAAAUAGACUUGUCUGUGAAGAUGCGGACUACCUGCACCUGGACAGAAAGACCCUAUGAAGCUUUACUGUAACUUGAGAUUGGUUUCGGGUUUUAUUUGCGCAGAAUAGGUGGGAGGCUAUGAAAAAAUACUUGUGGGUGUUUUGGAGCCAUCAGUGAGAUACCACUCUUGUAAAACUAGAAAUCUAACUUUACACCAUUAUCUGGUUAAAAGACAGUCUCAGGCGGGCAGUUUGACUGGGGCGGUCGCCUCCUAAAUCGUAACGGAGGCGCGCGAAGGUUGGCUCAGAGCGGUCGGAAAUCGCUCGUUGAGUGCAAUGGCAGAAGCCAGCCUGACUGCGAGACUGACAAGUCGAGCAGAGUCGAAAGACGGCCAUAGUGAUCCGGUGGUCCCGAGUGGAAGGGCCAUCGCUCAACGGAUAAAAGGUACGCCGGGG
rnacentral:rRNA from 1 species